rnacentral:rRNA from 1 species
GAUGAACGCUGGCGGCGUGCUUAACACAUGCCAGUCGAACGGAAAGGCCGAAGCUUGCUUCGGUACUCGAGUGGCGAACGGGUGAGUAACACGUGGGUGAUCUGCCCUGUACUUCGGGAUAAGCUUGGGAAACUGGGUCUAAUACCGGAUAUGACGAUCUCUUGGAUGGGGUUGUGGAAAGCUUUUGCGGUAUGGGAUGAGCUCGCGGCCUAUCAGCUUGUUGGUGGGGUAAUGGCCUACCAAGGCGUCGACGGGUAGCCGGCCUGAGAGGGUGUACGGCCACAUUGGGACUGAGAUACGGCCCAGACUCCUACGGGAGGCAGCAGUGGGGAAUAUUGCACAAUGGGCGCAAGCCUGAUGCAGCGACGCCGCGUGGGGGAUGACGGCCUUCGGGUUGUAAACUCCUUUCGCAAUCGACGAAGCCUUUUGGUGACGGUAGGUUGAGAAGAAGCACCGGCUAACUACGUG